rnacentral:lncRNA from 1 species
UGCCCUCACGGAGCUGACACUCUUGUGGAGGGAUGAAUGACACAUAAACAAAUGUUCAACUAAUGUUCAACGCGAUGAGAGCUCUGAAGAACAGGGGAAGGGGGCGGGAAGGCAAUGUGCACGCUUUUAACGAAUGGUCAGGGAGGGGCUGUCUGAUAAGUUUCCUCUUCCUGGGGGAAUAAGAGAGCAAGCCUGAGCUGACAUUGCCCGUGGGCCUCUUAUCACCCCAGUGAAAGAUGAUUUGGACUCAAGCUAACAUAGCAGCAGUAGAAAUAGUAGUCUCUAUCUUUUACUAAGUACUGACUACUUACGCAUUGUUUCCAGUGUAUUUAGAUGAUGUCUGGGGUAAAUAAUACUAAGCAGCUACUUAAAAAAAACAAAACAAAACCCAAAGCAGUGAGUUGAAGAAAAGGUUUACAAGUUUAUUUCUCACACACAAUCCACUGCAGAAGCCCUGGCCGGGUGGCUCUCCUCCAGGCAGUGACUCAGGGGUCAGAGUCCUUCCAUCACCCACCUCUGCCACUGUGUGUCGCUUCCAAUGCUGCCUCAGAAAGAGAAGAGCGUGUCUGGGAAGUGUAGGUCUUCUUUUAGCUGCCUCUUCUGUUCACAUUCCACAGCCCCACUUAGACACAACGGGCCCAGGAAAUAUAGCUUAGCUGGGUGUUGAGGAAGAGGAAACAGGCCGGGUAAGCAUACUGUUAAUAACCGCAAAAAAGGUGUACAAGGUAAGCUUCCUGGGCUGGAUACUGCACUGUAAUUGUGCAAGAUAUAAACACUGGGGGAGGCUGGUGAAGGGUAGACGGGGCCUCCCCAUGUUAGCCCUUGCAGCUGGGUCUGCCCUGUGACUAAGAUCUUGCUAGUGAAGGUCAAGUGGAACUGACAUGUGCCACUGCUGGGUCUGGUCUUAAAACACCUGUGCAUUUGUUCCCAUUCUUGUAAACUCAGAGGCGCCUGUGAGUCAGCUUCCACCGUGCAGACCAAGUCCUAGGUCACAUGACGGUGCCGCAGGACAGAAGGAGCAGGACCCCUGAGUGCACGGAGCACAGCAGUGCUCUGGGCUGAACCACUCCCUCUGCAGCUCUUACGUGAAAGAGAACUAAGUGUCUAUAUUCUUUAGGCCGUUGUAUUUUGGGGCCUCUGUGUUAGAGCAACAUUGCCUUUGCGAAAAUGGAAAAAAGCAGGUUUCAAAAUAGUAUACAGUAGGAUCUUAUUUCUUACAAAAAAAUGUACACACACAAACACGUUCACAUGAAGGUCUGGAAAGACAGACACCAAAACGCUCUGGUAAUUAUCUCUCGCUAGUGGGAAUUAUGGAUAUUGUUUUCUUUUCUUUGCUUAUCCACAUUACCUAAUUUCCUAUAAAAGGAACACAUGUAUUUCUUUUGUAAUUAAGAAAGCAAGCCUAUGAUGGAGAUGAGAGCCAAGAAUUAGAUGAGAAUGAGUAAUGCAUUAAGUAACAACCCAUCCCACAUAUGGGGGCUGACAGAGCUUGCUGGCAUCCCGGGCUGGCUCCCAGGCUCAAGGCC